UAUGUAUCAUAAAAAUUAAUCAAAGAAUUUUCUAUCUUUUAUUUAUUUUUUCCCUUCAAUCAAGACCUCAGCCACCAGGAAAGCCAGCAAAGGGAUUGUGAUAUAAAUGAUAAAUUAGAAAAUCAAACCCACAAACAAGAAAUUAAAAAGCUGAACCUCAUUAAAAAAAAUUUAAGGUUCAACGAUUGUAGGCAAAAAAGAGACAGAUAGGGUAACCAGACUCUCCUCUCACACAGGCUACCUUUCCUUCUUCACUUAUUUUUCCUUUGAAUUAGUUCUAAGUUCUAACAAUGGUCUAAUCUUUGCAAGCCAAAAAAUAAAAAAGCAAGGAAUUUGCUGAUAUAGAUGCUAAAAAAAUUAUUUUAUUUAAAAAAAAAAGUAUAAACGCUAAGGAAGGAAAAUAUAAAAAGCAAAAUUUCCUCUCAAAACAGAAAGAAAAACACAGAUACAUGUUAUGAACAAUCACCCAGAAAAGGGAAGGGAAAAUAAAAUUUACUGUACCAGUAACACCCAAUAAUUUUAACAAUAAUUAGAAUAAAACUCAGAAAAAAAAAUAAACAAAAACAAGAUAACCAGAUCAAGGAGUAGUAAAAGAUCUGGGUUGGAGUUUUUACUCCCAAAAAGAGGGGGGGAGGGGGGGAUUGCAAACCAGCCCAAAAGAAACAAACCCGUGACAAAGAUCUUCCUCCAUGUGAUCAAACACGCUCAUUAUAUCCAAACAAAAGAAGUUUAUGCAUAAAAAAAAGUUAAUAUAUAGAGCAAGAACACUAACACAGAGAAGCAGACACGUACUUGAUCAAAAGUACCAGUCACAGAAUCGGGGGAGAGAGGUGCCGACGGAGAGAGAAGAUUAUCGUCGACUGGGUAGAGAUAGGAGAAGUCGCCGGUGCCGAAUGGGUUGCCGGCACUCUUCAGUGAAGUGGGGGGGAGAGAGGCGUUGACUGGGAAUUUUGGGAAGGGAAUCGGGGGAGAGAGGUGCCGACGGAGAGAGGGAAGUGUGACUAGCAAAAUGGAAAAAUAAAUGAGGGGAUUAGGGUUAGUUUUGUUAGUAUAGCUAAUUAGGGAUUAGGUAUUAGGAAUUAGGGAUUAGGGUUAGUUUUGUUAGGGAUUAGGGAUUAAAGAUUAGAAAUUAGGGAUUAGAGAUUAAAAUUAGGGAUUAGGAAUUAGGGUUAAUUUUAUUAUGAAUUAGGGAUUAAUUAGGAAUUAGGGUUAGAG
rnacentral:lncRNA from 1 species